GACGAACGCUGGCGGCGUGCUUAACACAUGCAAGUCGAACGGAAAGGCCCUGCUUUUGUGGGGUGCUCGUUUGGCGAACGGGUGAGUAACACGUGAGUAACCUGCCCUUGACUUUGGGAUAACUUCACGAAACUGGGGCUAAUACCGGAUAGGAGCUCCUGCUGCAUGGUGGGGGUUGGAAAGUUUCGGCGGUUGGGGAUGGACUCGCGGCUUAUCAGCUUGUUGGGGGGGUAGUGGCUUACCAAGGCUUUGACGGGUAGCCGGCCUGAGAGCGUGACCGGCCACAUGGGGACUGAGAGACGGCCCAGACUGCUACGGGAGGCAGUAGUGGGGAAUAUGGCACAAUGGGCGGAAGCCUGAUGCAGCAACGCCGCGUGCGUGAUGCCGUCCUUCGGGGUGUAAACCGCUUUCGCCGGUGACGAAGCGUGAGUGACGGUAAUGGGUAAAGAAGCACCGGCUAACUACGUG
rnacentral:rRNA from 1 species